rnacentral:rRNA from 1 species
CCUACGGGCGGCAGCAGUGAGGAAUAUUGGUCAAUGGGCGCGAGCCUGAACCAGCCAAGUCGCGUGAGGGAAGACGGUCCUAUGGAUUGUAAACCUCUUUUGUCGGGGAGCAAAAGACGCCACGCGUGGCGUUCCGAGAGUACCCGAAGAAAAAGCAUCGGCUAACUCCGUGCCAGCAGCCGCGGUAAUACGGAGGAUCCGAGCGUUAUCCGGAUUUAUUGGGUUUAAAGGGAGCGUAGGUGGAUUGUUAAGUCAGUUGUGAAAGUUUGCGGCUCAACCGUAAAAUUGCAGUUGAAACUGGCAGUCGUGAGUACAGUAGAGGUGGGCGGAAUUCGUGGUGUAGCGGUGAAAUGCUUAGAUAUCACGAAGAACUCCGAUUGCGAAGGCAGCUCACUGGACUGCAACUGACACUGAGGCUCGAAAGUGUGGGUAUCAAACAGGAUUAGAUACCCGAGUAGUC